rnacentral:tRNA from 2 species
GGCCUGAUAGUUCAGUGGUAGAAUUCUUGCUUUGGGACGAUAAAUGUAAGAGGUCUCCGGUUCGAUCCCGGAUUAGGCCC